GCCCUUGUGGCGCAGAGGUAGCGCAUUCCCUUGGUAAGGGAAAGGUCAUGGGUUCAAGUCCCAUCAAGGGCU
rnacentral:tRNA from 1 species